GGCUGGUCUGAUGGUAGUGGGUUAUUAGAACUUAUUAACAUUAGUGUUACUAAAGUUGGUAUAUAACCACCCACUGCUACAUUUGACUGGCUUUAA
ensembl:misc_RNA Y_RNA Y RNA